AAAAUGUCAAUAUUUACAACAUGGCAUUCCGUGUCGUGAUAUAGUUAAGGAAUUCGAGUAUGACCCAGUACCCUGUAUUUGGAACAUAAACAUGUCUCCCCGAGAUAAGAAUUACAAAACACUAAAAUGGAGUUGACGCACGCUUUUGAAAGUCACAUGAGUAUUAUACAAUGCAUUUCGAAUAAAACCGGCAGUACGCCAAGGUUGCGCACUCAUACUGGACUGGUAUCAAGCUCGAACCAUACCAACGACACCACAAUUCAGAAGAAUAAGUGCCUCGCAAAACAAGGACGUAUACAUUGGAAUACUCUACAAAGGCCAUACAUGGAGCUCUAGCAAGCUACCUUGAGAAUCAAAUAAUUAGAAUUUAUAUAAAGAAACUUUAAUCUUUUCUUCUGAUGAAUUAAAACGAAUUUUGGAAGAAUGCAAUCAAAACACAUGGCUGCUUGGAAAACUACGGCUGUGAUCUGUACAGUGAUGUGUGUCCUUGUCUCGGCUAUCAAGGAGGAAAGUGGUGUAGAGGCGUCAGGGACAGAAGACUCCGGUGAGCACGGUGGUCGCAUUCUGAAAAGCUUGGUAAAACGUUGGGGCGAAGACAUGUUUGGCGGUUGCCAUUGUAGUUGGCAUGUGGGAUGCAUCAGUGAUUCUUAUUGUCAUCAUUUACAUGGCCACGAGUACUCGUGCAGGCCCACGUGCUGUGGGGUGGAAUGUACACAUCAUGGUCAUACGAAAUCGAAGAUUUCAACGUGAGGUAUUUAAACACUUAAAAUAGUGAUCUGUUAAUGAGAAGACUUCCAGAUGAUUUAACAGAAACACAUGUAUAUAAUUUCCCUUUGUAUUUAUUUGCUUAUGAACAAAAUAUCACAAAACGUGUGUGAAGCUGAUACAAAGAACAUGUCCUUCAUCGCCUGGCGCCUUUAGAGUCUUGUGGAUAAUUAGAGGUUACAUUCUUAAUGCAUGGGCUGGAAACGAAUGACAGUUUGUUAGAGAUUUCUAAACUAAAGUCUCCAGUGGAUCCCAAAAUCAUGCAACAUUACCAUCGAUGAUCUCCUUCGUCGCCCGCUGUCUUAAGUGACUUGUAGAUAAUUACCAGAUUCCAUUCUUGGUAAAUGGACAGAAUACGUCUGGCAGACAAUUCUAAACUACAGCUUGCGGUGGAUCCCAAUAUCAGUCAGCAUUAUUAAAAACACACACAAAAAAAACAACAAAAAAACAUGGUGCCCUCCAUCGCCUGCUCCUUAAGUGUCUUGUGAAUAAUUGGACAGGUACACAAUGACAGACAUUUAUUACUUAUAAUCUCCAGUGGAUUUGAAUACCUAGCACUCAUUGUUAUUUAUUAGUAUAUUUGUAGUAUGUCUCUAGCGAUAAUCUGCCUGGUAUUGUGUGCCUAAUUUUGCAAUGAUUGAAUAUAGUCUUAUUGUACAACUUAAGAGCUAUACGUGUGGACUUUGUAAUCUAAACUCGGAACACGUUUGGUAUUCAAAAAUUCUACUUAACAUUCCUGAUUAUCUGAAACAUAUACAAACUAUUGAACUAUAUGCAUAAAUUUAUGUCCUGGACGAUCGUCUCAUGAAAAAAAAGUGCCAGUAUAUGUAUGUAUGUAUCGGUCGCCAUUUUGACUGAUGCGCUAAUGUUUAACAUUUCCUUUAUAUAAUUCUGGGUAAGUUUCCAUUGUUUAACUAAUUAUCAUGACAACAUAUGUCAACGGUAAAGAGGUUAUGAUAAAAAUAUCUUGAUAGUUUAUAUAUUAAAAUUGAAAAUGCCGUUUCGAUGUUCGUUCGCCUGACUGAAUAUUAAAUACA